UACGUAGGGUGCAAGCGUUAAUCGGAAUUACUGGGCGUAAAGCGUGCGCAGGCGGCUUUGCAAGACAGAUGUGAAAUCCCCGGGCUCAACCUGGGAACUGCAUUUGUGACUGCAAGGCUAGAGUACGGCAGAGGGGGAUGGAAUUCUGCGUGUAGCAGUGAAAUGCGUAGAUAUGCGGAGGAACACCGAUGGCGAAGGCAAUCCCCUGGGCCUGUACUGACGCUCAUGCACGAAAGCGUGGGGAGCAAACAGG
rnacentral:rRNA from 1 species